rnacentral:rRNA from 1 species
AGAGCUUGCUUUCUCGAGCGAGUGGCGAACGGGUGAGUAACGCGUGAGGAACCUGCCUCAAAGAGGGGGACAACAGUUGGAAACGACUGCUAAUACCGCAUGACACAUAGGUGUCGCAUGGCACUUAUGUCAAAGAUUUAUCGCUGAAAGAUGGCCUCGCGUCUGAUUAGAUAGUUGGCGGGGUAACGGCCCACCAAGUCGACGAUCAGUAGCCGGACUGAGAGGUUGACCGGCCACAUUGGGACUGAGACACGGCCCAGACUCC